rnacentral:rRNA from 1 species
UACGGAGGAUCCGAGCGUUAUCCGGAUUUAUUGGGUUUAAAGGGUGCGCAGGCGGGAGAUUAAGUCGGCGGUGAAAUUUUGCAGCUCAACUGUAAAAGUGCCUUCGAAACUGGUUUCCUUGAGUGUAGAUGAAGUAGGCGGAAUUUGUGGUGUAGCGGUGAAAUGCAUAGAUAUCACGAGGAAUUCCGAUUGCGCAGGCAGCUUACUAAACUACUACUGACGCUCAGGCACGAAGGCGUGGGGAUCAAACAGGAUUAGAUACCCGGGUAGUCCCU